UCACUUUCCAGUUCAUGAAAACUAUUGUAUAGUGUUCCAUAACUUCUUUUCUCUGAUUCAAACAUUGGUUCAAAAUAGGCAGUGACAGAAUUCUUUGUUCUUAACCAAUCAGGAAGCUGCAGAGGAGUCAUCUCAAUGGUAUGAGGCAAACCAGGAACCGUAAAUUUCUGCUUUUGCAGCUGCUUCGACGGUCCAAGCAUACAUCUGAUCAGUAACUAUACAAUCUGGUCGAAGAUCGUGAAACAGAUUCUCGAUAGGAUCUUGGAGCAUCAAUAUUCCACUGCUGAUUUUACCAAGCAUUUCAAGUGAAGUUCCAUCUUUGAUGUUUUCAACACCAUCUGGAAGACCAACUUGAGCUGAAGGGAAGGGAAUAAGUUGAGUUUUGAUGG
rnacentral:lncRNA from 1 species